GCGCGAUCUGUCGAUCGACAGAUCGCGCAAGGAUCGAUCGAUCGGAAAGCGGUGGCGAAACCAUUCAAAACAAAUCGAUCGAUUUGGAGCAGCUCCGAAACGUCGUACAGUGUAUGCAAGAGUCCAUAACCCCCGGGGGGGUUAUGGACUCUUGGUGUAUGUUUAGGACUUUGGUGAACAGCUUUUCAAAUGAAAGAAACGGUACCUUUUCUGAGUGCAAUCUUCUUCCCCAAAUAAUUCAAAAAUCAGUUCCUUCCGAAAAUUCCAUCGUGCUGGACCUCGAAGCUGAACGUCAUAAGCAAAUAGUCAAGCCGUGUGUCGUCUGGAUAUGCAGUUGUUUGUCAUAGCCAACAUUCUUCUGGUCCGUUCGUCCUGCCAUUUUCCUGACGAUCGCAAUGAUUACGAGCAGCUCUCAUGCUCAGGAUUCUGAAAGCUAGAGGAAUCCCACUAGCCCCAAGCACUGAGCUCACGGCUUCCAGCCACGAAUCAGGCAUGGUGUAUCACGACAUCUAUAUGUUUUGCAUCCAUUUGAUUACUAGUACCGUAAAGUACCGCCAGAGCGCCCCACUAUCUCGUCCUUUCGUGGUCGUAUUGUGUAGGUGGUCUCCCGUCUGUAGGUCAUACGACACGAACUUCGUACACAUAUUGCACGUUGUGCAGACAAUCCGUACCUUCGAGCGGACACGAGCUCCACACAAAAACCUUCCUCUGACGUUAGUACACCAUACACACUUCGUUGCAUUCUGCCGUACGAUUUUCC